UGGUGUUUGUUGGAAUUUUUAUUUCUGUGUAUCAAAUAUGACCUUAAUUUCACACCUUUAUCAAAGUUUUUGAUAUUUUCAUGAGAUGACUUCGCUAACAAAUUGUUUACCUAACCUCUUCAAACAAAUUACCAUUAAUAUUCAUAUUUGUAUUUCAAACUUCCUUUAAAUUCUUAACUUUCACCCAUCUAGUCAAAAAUGCCAUGAAAUAAAUAACAUAAAUGGUGUUUUUAACAAAUAAAGUUCAAUUUCUUAUUAGAAUAAAAAUCCUGGACACUUGGUGGAUACCUUUAAGCCACAAAAAAUUGAAACCCAAUAUUAUUCAUGUUUACAUCAGAUUUGUACUGGCUAUAUAACAGCAUCACUAUCGUCAUUUAUCGAUAGGUUGGGGAAAAGUGUCAUCAUAGUAAACAUGCAUAUUUAUGGACAUUUUCUUCAAAAUUAAGCUUUAAUAUAUGAAUUGGAAAACUCUUUCUUCAAAAAACAGACAAUGUGAUUUCAUGAAUAACCAAAAUUGUCUUCUUAAAAAAUUCACAUGAGAAAAAUAUCAGACAACAAAAAACACAUUCCAUGAAUCUGAUACAAAUUACUCUAUGAUUUUAUUUUCAAUGUUUACAUAACAAAACAUAAAACAGUAUUACAUUUAUUUUACACUAUGUCAGACUUCACUC